AUUGAACGCUGGCGGCAGGCUUAACACAUGCAAGUCGAGCGGAGAUGAGGUGCUUGCACCUUAUCUUAGCGGCGGACGGGUGAGUAAUGCUUAGGAAUCUGCCUAUUAGUGGGGGACAACAUUCCGAAAGGAAUGCUAAUACCGCAUACGCCCUACGGGGGAAAGCAGGGGAUCUGCGGACCUUGCGCUAAGAGAUGAGCCUAAGUCGGAUUGGCUAGUUGGUGGGGUAAAGGCCUACCAAGGCGACGAUCUGUAGCGGGUCUGAGAGGAUGAUCCGCCACACUGGGACUGAGACACGGCCCAGACUCCUACGGGAGGCAGCAGUGGGGAAUAUUGGACAAUGGGCGGAAGCCUGAUCCAGCCAUGCCGCGUGUGUGAAGAAGGCCUUUUGGUUGUAAAGCACUUUAAGCGAGGAGGAGGCUACCUGGAUUAAUACUCUAGGAUAGUGGACGUUACUCGCAGAAUAAGCACCGGCUAACUCUGUGCCAGCAGCCGCCGUAACAC
rnacentral:rRNA from 1 species